rnacentral:rRNA from 1 species
AACGAACGCUGGCGGCAUGCCUAACACAUGCAAGUCGAACGAGACCUUCGGGUCUAGUGGCGCACGGGUGCUUAACGCGUGGGAACCUGCCCUUAGGUUCGGAAUAACUCCCCGAAAGGGGUGCUAAUACCGGAUAAUGUCUUCGGACCAAAGAUUUAUCGCCUUUGGAUGGGCCCGCGUUGGAUUAGCUAGUUGGUAGGGUAAAAGCCUACCAAGGCGACGAUCCAUAGCUGGUCUGAGAGGAUGAUCAGCCACACUGGGACUGAGACACGGCCCAGACUCUUACGGGAGGCAGCAGUGGGGACUAUUGGACGAUGGGCGAAAGACUGAUCCAGCCAUGCCGCGUGAGUGAUGAAGGCCUUAGGGUUGUAAAGCUCUUUUACCCGGGAUGAUAAUGACAGUACCGGGAGAAUAAGCUACGGCUAACUCCGUG